rnacentral:lncRNA from 1 species
AGUGCAGGCCGAGCCCUGCGUCCCUGCCUCGCUGGGUGGGGGUCCGGGGCGCGGCUGUCCACAGGGCCGCCUCCUCCUGCGGCCCGCGGGGAAGGGGCGCAUCCCACCCCGCUCUGCAGGCCGCCCUUCUGCCAGCUGGGAGGCGAGGGCACACGUCCUAAGGCUGCCCAAGGGGGAGAGGAAUCGCGCCGGUAGGAGAGCGCACGGGAACCAGGAACGCAAGGCGGGCACAGGGGAGCCGAAGGAGCCAGACAGGGCCCGGCCACGCGCCCUCCUCGCUCGGCUGCGCUCCGUGACGGGAACCCAGGCUCCCACGCACGGGGAAUGCCUAGAACGGAGCUAGAAUGGAGGUGGGAGCUGGAGUCAUUUUGCGGGCCACAGGACUGCUCAUUUCGUGGGCAGGACGUGACAUUCUUGUCCCUCCUUUCUGAAAAACUUUUCUCAGGCGCCUGAACUUGGCAUGGGGACCGGCCUCGAAAAGCCGGCGGGUAGCACGGCCGCGGUAUCCAACCCUUCGCCCUCCUUCCCACCGGCCCUCCGCGUCCCUCGGCCCGCCCCCCGGGUCGGGGACGCGCGCGGAAAGGCCGCUCGCGCGCUCGAGCCGUGCCUUAUAUCGGCUGAGGGAGGCGCCUGCGCACGGCCCCGCGCGGCGGCGCGGCCUUUGAAGUCGCGGCGGCUGCCGCUUUCAUCCUUUCUUUUUUCCCUCGCAGGCCCCUUUGUGUGACUAAAUUUGGCAAGAAUAUGGAUCUGAGCCAGUCUUUCCACGUGUGCUCCCAGCUCCCAGCUGAGAAGGCCAAGGGUUCUCUUCCGGAUGCAGCCUUUUUGAAAUUUAUUCUUGGCCAAAAGAGGAAGAUAGUUCAAGGAUUCUAUCUUGCUUUUGGGGGGCAAUGGAGAAACCCUGAAAACACUUAAGGAAAACCUGAGGCCUUCUAUAAGAAAAUAAACUCCCUGAAAGGGGAGGCAGGGCCAAGGAAUUUACUUAUUUUUAUAAAUCUCUUUCCUGGGUGGAUAUGUGCUCCAGGAAAGUACCUGAUUGACAAGAUCUACAUCCAAUGCCCAGAAAACACAUCCUACACAGGCACAGUGAAGCGUGGAGUUGAAGAAUUUUCCAGUGAGUUCCAUCAAAGUAAAUAAACCAACCUAGAGCAU